AUUGAACGCUGGCGGCGUGCUUAACACAUGCAAGUCGAACGGUGAACGAGGGAGCUUGCUCCCUCCGGAUCAGUGGCGAACGGGUGAGUAACACGUGAGCAAUCUGCCCCGAACUCUGGGAUAAGCGCUGGAAACGGCGUCUAAUACCGGAUACGACGCGCGAAGGCAUCUUCUGCGCGUGGAAAGAAUUUCGGUUCGGGAUGAGCUCGCGGCCUAUCAGCUAGUUGGUGAGGUAACGGCUCACCAAGGCGACGACGGGUAGCCGGCCUGAGAAGGUGACCGGCCACACUGGGACUGAGACACGGCCCAGACUCCUACGGGAGGCAGAAGUGGGGAAUAUUGCACAAUGGGCGCAAGCCUGAUGCAGCAACGCCGCGUGAGGGACGACGGCCUUCGGGUUGUAAACCCCUUUUAGUAGGGAAGAAGCGAAAGUGACGGUACCUGCAGAAAAAGCACCGGCUAACUACGUGCCAGCCGCCGCCGUAAGAC
rnacentral:rRNA from 1 species